rnacentral:misc_RNA from 1 species
AUGCAAAGAAUGAAGGUUUGCUAGGUAACCCUGCAGUUCACCUUCUGUAUGACUGGAACUUAAUGUGUGCAUUCUUUGGGUUUCCCUCUGAACCACUAUUUUACUUUUAAGUUCUAAGUGCUUUUUCCAGAUGAAGGUAGACAACUGUUGUUCUUGUUUUGAUGAAAAUGCCCAUCCUGUUCUCCAUCUGUGUGUGUGUCUGUGUGCACUUGCUUACUUUGUCUGUAUGUGUACUUGACUACUUGCAUGCACCUUCUUUCAUUUGUUGUCCUUUCCAUGUUGGCAUCGUGUUCUCUAGAGGAAAAUUUCUUCUUUGAGGCUUGAACUGU